rnacentral:rRNA from 1 species
GACGGAGGGGGCUAGCGUUGUUCGGAAUGACUGGGCGUAAAGAGCACGUAGGUGGUUAAUUAAGUCAGGCGUGAAAGCCCCGAGCUUAACUCGGGAAUAGCGCUUGAGACUGGUUAACUUGAGUUCGAUAGGGGAAAGUGGAAUUCCUAGUGUAGAGGUGAAAUUCGUAGAUAUUAGGAGGAACACCAGAGGCGAAGGCGACUUUCUGGAUCGACACUGACAAUGAGGUGCGAAAGCGUGGGGAGCAAACAGG